rnacentral:rRNA from 1 species
CGGCGGACGGGUGAGUAACGCGUGGGUAACCUACCCUGUACACACGGAUAACAUACCGAAAGGUAUGCUAACACGGGAUAAUAUAUUUGAGAGGCAUCUCUUGAAUAUCAGAGGUGAGCCAGUACAGGAUGGACCCGCGUCUGAUUAGCUAGUUGGUAAGGUAACGGCUUACCAAGGCGACGAUCAGUAGCCGACCUGAGAGGGUGACCGGCCACAUUGGGACUGAGACACGGCCCAA